GGAGUUAGCCGGUGCUUCUUCUGUGAGUGAUGUCCUUCCUGCCGGCUAUUAACCCGCAGGCCUUCUUCCUCACUGAAAGUGCUUUACAACCCGAAGGCCUUCUUCACACACGCGGCAUGGCUGGAUCAGGGUUGCCCCCAUUGUCCAAUAUUCCCCACUGCUGCCUCCCGUAGGAGUCUGGGCCGUGUCUCAGUCCCAGUGUGGCUGAUCAUCCUCUCAGACCAGCUACGGAUCGUCGCCUUGGUGAGCCGUUACCUCACCAACCAGCUAAUCCGACAUAGGCUCAUCCGAUAGCGCGAGGCCCGAAGGUCCCCCGCUUUCCCCCGUAGGGCGUAUGCGGUAUUAGCCUGGGUUUCCCCAGGUUAUCCCCCGACUACCGGGCAGAUUCCUAUGCAUUACUCACCCGUCCGCCGCUCGCCACCAGGGAGCAAGCUCCCCGUGCUGCCGCUCGACUUGCAUGUGUUAGGCCUGCCGCCAGCGUUCAAUCUGAGCCAGAAUCAAACUCUGA
rnacentral:rRNA from 1 species